AUUAUGAAUGUCAAAUUUGGGACACAGCUGUGCAGUUUUUAUUAUUGAGCUCUGACAUCUGAUUGCUAUGCUAUGCUAUGCUUCUGUUGCUAUACUCCAUGCCUUUGGUGCCCUCUCACUCUAUGAUAAGCCAAAGUUAAGCUACGUAAACAGUUUGAUUGCAUUAUUUGUCACACAACAACACAAUGAUUUAAAUUGAUAAUAAAUACUUUAUUUAUCAACAA